UACAGAGGUCUCAAGCGUUGUUCGGAUUCAUUGGGCGUAAAGGGUGCGUAGGCGGCGCGGUAAGUCGGGUGUGAAAUCUUGGAGCUUAACUCCGAAACUGCAUUCGAUACUGCCGUGCUUGAGGACUGGAGAGGAGACUGGAAUUACGGUGUAGCGGUGAAAUGCGUAGAUAUCGGGAGGAACACCAGUGGCGAAGGCGGUUCUCUGGGCAUGUCCUGACGCUGAGGAGCGAAAGUGUGGGGAGCGAACAGG
rnacentral:rRNA from 1 species